rnacentral:rRNA from 1 species
UACGUAGGGUGCAAGCGUUGUCCGGAAUUAUUGGGCGUAAAGAGCUCGUAGGCGGUUUGUCGCGUCUGCUGUGAAAACUCGGGGCUUAACCCCGGGCCUGCAGUGGGUACGGGCAGACUAGAGUGCAGUAGGGGAGACUGGAAUUCCUGGUGUAGCGGUGAAAUGCGCAGAUAUCAGGAGGAACACCGAUGGCGGAGGCAGGUCUCUGGGCUGUAACUGACGCUGAGGAGCGAAAGCAUGGGGAGCGAACAGG